ACAUGCAAGUCGAACGGUAACAGGAAGMAGCUUGCUGCUUCGCUGACGAGUGGCGGACGGGUGAGUAAUGUCUGGGAAACUGCCUGAUGGAGGGGGAUAACUACUGGAAACGGUAGCUAAUACCGCAUAACGUCGCAAGACCAAAGAGGGGGACCUUCGGGCCUCUUGCCAUCGGAUGUGCCCAGAUGGGAUUAGCUAGUAGGUGGGGUAACGGCUCACCUAGGCGACGAUCCCUAGCUGGUCUGAGAGGAUGACCAGCCACACUGGAACUGAGACACGGUCCAGACUCCUACGGGAGGCAGCAGUGGGGAAUAUUGCACAAUGGGCGCAAGCCUGAUGCAGCCAUGCCGCGUGUAUGAAGAAGGCCUUCGGGUUGUAAAGUACUUUCAGCGGGGAGGAAGGGAGUAAAGUUAAUACCUUUGCUCAUUGACGUUACCCGCAGAAGAAGCACCGGCUAACUCCGUGCCAGCAGCCGCGGUAAUACGGAGGGUGCAAGCGUUAAUCGGAAUUACUGGGCGUAAAGCGCACGCAGGCGGUUUGUUAAGUCAGAUGUGAAAUCCCCGGGCUCAACCUGGGAACUGCAUCUGAUACUGGCAAGCUUGAGUCUCGUAGAGGGGGGUAGAAUUCCAGGUGUAGCGGUGAAAUGCGUAGAGAUCUGGAGGAAUACCGGUGGCGAAGGCGGCCCCCUGGACGAAGACUGACGCUCAGGUGCGAAAGCGUGGGGAGCAAACAGGAUUAGAUACCCUGGUAGUCCACGCCGUAAACGAUGUCGACUUGGAGGUUGUGCCCUUGAGGCGUGGCUUCCGGAGCUAACGCGUUAAGUCGACCGCCUGGGGAGUACGGCCGCAAGGUUAAAACUCAAAUGAAUUGACGGGGGCCCGCACAAGCGGUGGAGCAUGUGGUUUAAUUCGAUGCAACGCGAAGAACCUUACCUGGUCUUGACAUCCACAGAACUUUCCAGAGAUGGAUUGGUGCCUUCGGGAACUGUGAGACAGGUGCUGCAUGGCUGUCGUCAGCUCGUGUUGUGAAAUGUUGGGUUAAGUCCCGCAACGAGCGCAACCCUUAUCCUUUGUUGCCAGCGGUCCGGCCGGGAACUCAAAGGAGACUGCCAGUGAUAAACUGGAGGAAAGGUGGGGGAUGACGUCAAGUCAUCAUGGCCCUUAC
rnacentral:rRNA from 1 species